AUGGUCACUUUGGCAACAUGCAUACUCAGAUGAGAGGGUUACAGAGAACAUUCACACGGCCCUUCACAAGGAUGACACGCAAGUUCUUGAAACAUUCCAUAUUGAA
ensembl:snRNA U6 U6 spliceosomal RNA